UUGCAUGUCUAGGGGGUCGAGUGAUUCAGUAAUUGACCUAGCGGCGGAGGGUGAGUAAUACUUAGGAAUCUGCCUAUUAAUGGGGGACAACAUCUCGAAAGGGAUGCUAAUACCGCAUACGCCCUACGGGGGAAAGCAGGGGAUCACUUGUGACCUUGCGUUAAUAGAUGAGCCUAAGUCGGAUUAGCUAGUUGGUGGGGUAAAGGCCUACCAAGGCGACGAUCUGUAGCGGGUCUGAGAGGAUGAUCCGCCACACUGGGACUGAGACACGGCCCAGACUCCUACGGGAGGCAGCAGUGGGGAAUAUUGGACAAUGGGGGGAACCCUGAUCCAGCCAUGCCGCGUGUGUGAAGAAGGCCUUAUGGUUGUAAAGCACUUUAAGCGAGGAGGAGGCUCUUCUGGUUAAUACCUAGGAUGAGUGGACGUUACUCGCAGAAUAAGCACCGGCUAACUCUGUGCCAGCAGCCGCGGUAAUACAGAGGGUGCGAGCGUUAAUCGGAUUUACUGGGCGUAAAGCGUGCGUAGGCGGCUUUUUAAGUCGGAUGUGAAAUCCCCGAGCUUAACUUGGGAAUUGCAUUCGAUACUGGGAAAGCUAGAGUAUGGGAGAGGAUGGUAGAAUUCCAGGUGUAGCGGUGAAAUGCGUAGAGAUCUGGAGCAAUACCGAUGUCGAAGGCAGCCAUCUGUCCCUAAUACUGACGCUGAGGUACGAAAAGUAUGGUAGCAAACAGUAUUAGAUACCCUGGUAGCUCCAUGCCGUAAACGAUGUCUAACUAGCCGUUGCGGUCUUUUGGAGUUUUAGUGGCGCUGCCUAACGA
rnacentral:rRNA from 1 species